rnacentral:rRNA from 1 species
CCGUGCUCUACCGAUUGAUGGCUCGGUGAGGCCUCCGGACUGGCUCAGGAGGGUUGGCAACGACCCCCCCGAGCCGGAAAGCUGGUCAAACCCGGUCAUUUAGAGGAAGUAAAAGUCGUAACAAGGUUUCCGUAGGUGAACCUGCGGAAGGAUCAUUACCGAGUGCGGGCUGCCUCCGGGCGCCCAACCUCCCACCCGUGACUACCUAACACUGUUGCUUCGGCGGGGAGCCCCCCAGGGGCGAGCCGCCGGGGACCACUGAACUUCAUGCCUGAGAGUGAUGCAGUCUGAGCCUGAAUACAAAUCAGUCAAAACUUUCAACAAUGGAUCUCUUGGUUCCGGCAUCGAUGAAGAACGCAGCGAACUGCGAUAAGUAAUGUGAAUUGCAGAAUUCAGUGAAUCAUCGAGUCUUUGAACGCACAUUGCGCCCCCUGGCAUUCCGGGGGGCAUGCCUGUCCGAGCGUCAUUGCUGCCCUCAAGCCCGGCUUGUGUGUUGGGUCGUCGUCCCCCCCGGGGGACGGGCCCGAAAGGCAGCGGCGGCACCGUGUCCGGUCCUCGAGCGUAUGGGGCUUUGUCACCCGCUCGAUUAGGGCCGGCCGGGCGCCAGCCGGCGUCUCCAACCUUAUUUUUCUCAGGUUGACCUCGGAUCAGGUAGGGAUACCCGCUGAACUUAAGCAUAUCAAUAAGCGGAGGAAAAGAAACCAACCGGGAUUGCCUCAGUAACGGCGAGUGAAGCGGCAAGAGCUCAAAUUUGAAAGCUGGCCCCUUCGGGGUCCGCGUUGUAAUUUGCAGAGGAUGCUUCGGGUGCGGCCCCUGUCUAAGUGCCCUGGAACGGGCCGUCAGAGAGGGUGAGAAUCCCGUCUUGGGCAGGGUGCCCGUGCCCGUGUGAAGCUCCUUCGACGAGUCGAGUUUUGUGGGGGAAUGCA